AACGAACGCUGGCGGCAUGCCUAACACAUGCAAGUCGAACGAGACCUUCGGGUCUAGUGGCGCACGGGUGCGUAACACGUGGGAAUCUGCCCUUUGCUUCGGAAUAACAGUUAGAAAUGACUGCUAAUACCGGAUGAUGUCUAAAGACCAAAGAUUUAUCGGCAAAGGAUGAGCCCGCGUAGGAUUAGGUAGUUGGUGGGGUAAAGGCCUACCAAGCCGACGAUCCUUAGCUGGUCUGAGAGGAUGAUCAGCCACACUGGGACUGAGACACGGCCCAGACUCCUACGGGAGGCAGCAGUGGGGAAUAUUGGACAAUGGGCGAAAGCCUGAUCCAGCAAUGCCGCGUGAGUGAUGAAGGCCUUAGGGUUGUAAAGCUCUUUUACCAGGGAUGAUAAUGACAGUACCUGGAGAAUAAGCGCCGGCUAACUCCGUG
rnacentral:rRNA from 1 species